rnacentral:rRNA from 1 species
AGUGAACGCUGGCGGUAGGCCUAACACAUGCAAGUCGAACGGCAGCACAGAAAGGGCUUGCUCUUACGGGUGGCGAGUGGCGGACGGGUGAGGAAUACAUCGGAAUCUACUUUUUCGUGGGGGAUAACGUAGGGAAACUUACGCUAAUACCGCAUACGACCUACGGGUGAAAGCAGGGGAUCUUCGGACCUUGCGCGAUUGAAUGAGCCGAUGUCGGAUUAGCUAGUUGGCGGGGUAAAGGCCCACCAAGGCGACGAUCCGUAGCUGGUCUGAGAGGAUGAUCAGCCACACUGGAACUGAGACACGGUCCAGACUCCUACGGGAGGCAGCAGUGGGGAAUAUUGGACAAUGGGCGCAAGCCUGAUCCAGCCAUACCGCGUGGGUGAAGAAGGCCUUCGGGUUGUAAAGCCCUUUUGUUGGGAAAGAAAAGCAGCAGGUUAAUACCCCGCUGUUCUGACGGUACCCAAAGAAUAAGCACCGGCUAACUUCGUG